CCUACGGGAGGCAGCAGUGGGGAAUAUUGCACAAUGGGGGCAACCCUGAUGCAGCAACGCCGCGUGAGUGAAGAAGUAUUUCGGUUUGUAAAGCUCUAUCAGCAGGGAAGAAGCUGACGGUACCUGCUUACGAAUCCCCGGCUAACUACGUGCCAGCAGCCGCGGUAAUACGUAGGGGGCAAGCGUUAUCCGGCUUUACUGGGUGUAAUGGGAGCGCAGACGGCAGUGCAAGUCUGGAGUGAAAGCCCGGGGCCCAACCCCGGAACUGCUUUGGAAACUGUGCGGCUUGAGUACUGGAGGGGCAGGCGGAAUUCCGAGUGUAGCGGUGAAAUGCGUAGAUAUUAGGAGGAACACCAGUGGCGAAGGCGGCCUGCUGGACAGUAACUGACGUUGAGGCUCGAAAGCGUGGGGAGCAAACAGGAUUAGAUACCCCUGUAGUC
rnacentral:rRNA from 1 species